rnacentral:miRNA from 1 species
ACUCUCAUUGACCGGGAGGAAUCCCUCUCGGCCGCUGAGAGGUACACUCUCAUCGACCGAGAGGGAUUCCUCUCGGCCGGUGAGAGU